GGCGACUGAAGGGGACCAGCCCAGCGCAUAACCUCGUGGUCCGUAGCCGGCCGUCGAGGGGUGUUGCGUUUCGGUGGAUCCGUACCGCUCGAGCUGCUCACCGCCUAAGUCAUUGCUUGAAUGCAGCCCCAAGGAGGGUGGUAGGCCCGUGUGGCGGCGCCUGUAAAAAGGUCCGAGGCAGCUUGGGCGGAGGGGUCUUUACCGUAGAGUCGGGUUGCUUAGUACUGCAGCCCUAAGCAGGUGGUAAACUCCAUCUAAGGCUAAAUACAACCACGAGUCCGAUAUUUGACAAGUACCGUGAGGGAAAGCUGAAAAGGACUCUGAAGAGAGAGUUCAAGAGGACGUGAAACCAUUAGAAGCUCAAACGGGUGGAACCGUGAAGGUCGAAAGAGGGGAUUCAGCCGGCCGGUCUUGGGCGGCGGGUGCGGUACAAGUUGCAUUUCAGUGAGAGGACCCGGCGUAAAUGUGUGUUGCCGUGGCCCCGUGCCUGUCGACCUGAGCCCUGUCGGCUUAGUUCUCCCUCGAGUAGUGGUCGUCGCGACCCGCUGGGCGGGCCCCGAGGGCCGCGCCGGACUGGUAGCCUGCACUCUGUUGGAGGCGAUGACCGGCUGCGGUACUGACUGGGCUUGCCCGGCGGUCACUGCAAGGAGGCCGCCUCGCGCGGCCUCUCGCGACGUGAAAGGGAUUGGUAAUCCACCCGA
rnacentral:rRNA from 1 species